UGAUAAAAUCGCAUGCGAAAAAGCGUUGCCUCCGCCCCUAAUAAUCGGGCCUAAAAUCGGUAUUUCUGGUCACUCUGGUUAGGAUUUGCUUUUUACAAUUUCACCUUGUCAUACUCAUACACCUUGAGCGGGGUCGUCUAGAAAAUGUUUGGAUCCAGUUGGCAGCACGGUCAAUUGGCAUCAGUUGGACAUUUUGCACAUUUACUACACGCAAUUUGUAAUUUGUUUGAAACUUUAAGUUGCAUUUAACGAAACGAAUGAACAGGGUACAGAAGUAUAGCAAAGGCAUUUUUACUGGCAAAAGUAUCCCUUUGUGUGGAUUGAGAAAAAUACAUAAGCAGUUUUUAAAAUAGUUGCCAUAUUCCAAAUCGUGGUGCAUUUUUGUGUGUGAUAAAUAAAGAGACGCAGUUUUCGUGAAGUUGUAUGCAUUAAGCAAUCAUAACAGCACGGAUAAACGGACAGCCGGAUAAAAGGUACCCGGACAAAUGGCGCUCCACUGUACUCUCAAAAGAAUUCCUGUCAUGUGCCCAACUCUUGCAUGGAUCGAGUCCCUGAUGCUCACGACUGUUUAUCCUGGUAUUCGAGUAAACCAAUCAACUAACGGAUAUCCAAAUGAAUGAUGGCUACUAUGGCAGAUCUUAACUACCUACACCAGAUUAACAGUUAUUAUGCCAGAUAAGAAAAAAUGAAGCUUUGGGAUAAAAUCGUUGUAAUAGUUUUAGUACUCCUCAGGUUGCAUAUUCUUCUCAUUUUAAUAAAAACGAGACAUUAAUGUUAUCCCGUGUGAAAUCGGGUAAAUCAACUAGUUCACUGGCAGGGUCUGAGGCCUGCCACCAGGCAGAACGUGUUAAUUAGUUUUUCAUAUAAAUUUUAACAUAAUUGAAAAAAGAUUCUGUAUCAAUACGGUGUAUACAUAAUUUUAUUAAUUGAAACCAUCAACUUAAACAAAAUUAUCUAAGUCUUAGAGGUGUUUUCCCGAAAACGUGGUAUUUGUUUUAAGCUCCCUUCCGAACAUAUUAACCGCGUCACACCAUUGGUGUUAGCAUAAGUUAUCAUAUUUAUGUCCGUUUUUAGGAUACAAUUGUGGUGAAAAUGUGCAACCCAUUCUUUGAAGGUGACUCCUGAGGGUGUCAAAAUGUCAUUGUUUAUUUGUUUGUGAUAUUUUAAUCGCUUUACAACUUUGUGCUUUGCUGCUAUUCAUCCGUUGUGUUGAUCGGCAUCCUAUAUUUCUCAUGUUUAUGCAUAUGUAUGUUGUGUCAAAUUGCGUACGUGGACUGCCACUGAACCUUCUGAACGCCUAGAACCAGCGGGUGAUGCUAGUCGGUAUCGCGAAAAAAAUAUUGAAAAAAUAUUUUUUUUUUUGCACAAGAACCGUGGUCGGUUAAGGCCUCCCCGUAACACUGGUGGGCUUGGGUUUUAGUGACUUACUGAUUACACAUACAGUGCUGGGUAUUCAAAAUCGGACCCUUUUAAUUUCUGAUACUUUUUCUAUCAUGAACGAUUUCAUCAUUUUCUCCCUAUGUUUUUUACCUAAGUUUCUCUACUUGUGUUUUCUAUCAGUCGAGAACUGUUUAAACAACCUUUUAUUUUAUACGACUGGAAUGAACACGUGCUCAUUCGAAACGCUGCGAUACCAGGAUGGCAGUCAACAUGCAAAUGAUUCACUAAUGAUCAGUGCUCUAACCGUAGAACGCUCAUCAGGCUAAUCGUAUACCGAUAAUCGUAUAAUUUCUACAGAUAUUCAACCGUUAAGUAAUUUUAGGUUCGUCUUCUGUAUGGUUCGUUGUUCAUUUACAGUCCGAACUCACUGGUUAAACUUCGAUUCCCUGCAUACUAUAGACUAUGUGUUUUUUAGUUGGCACGUUUUUUCACCCAAAAAACUUCUGAAAUUUUCCUAGGCAAGAGUGAAUGAGAGCCAUGAGAUGUUAGUGAUUUUUUCAAAAUCUGAUUUUUCCAUACAAACGCAUGCGUUUUAAUUGAAGUGUCUGUCAACUAUGGAGCGUUCAACUAUAAAGCAUGCUUACUAAAAAUUGUUCAACUGUUUUGAUUGUAUUCCGCGAAAUUAAAUAGUGGGAAUUUUACGUGUUCCGAUAGUUUUGGGAUUUUUCAAACAUCCAUUCUUAAAUGGAAACGGAACUUUCUUUCUUGUUUUGGCGGACUCAUUUAGAAUCCAGUUGGAAUUUGCAAUGUGUAUGUAUUAUUAUUUAUUAUCUUUAUGAUCCUUACAGGGUUUUCCAGGAGUUCUCAUAGCUGUGGGACACUUAAUUGACUCCUUCUUCCGUGAAAUGAACUUAAUUUAAUGGGAAUGGGACUCUACAGCACCCUUGUUGGACAAUUCCAAUAGGAAUUUCCAAUAGAAGCUGUACACACUAGUGAUGGGUAAUCCUUUAGUGGAGUCAUGGAUCAACUCCGACUCCGGUGCGCAAAAUAUGACUCCAAUUCCCGAUGAUAACCGAAUUUGACUUCGGAUCAGUCCGGAUCAGUCCGGAUCAGUCCGGAUCAGUUCGGAUCAGUUCGGAACAGUCCGUAUCAAUCCAACCAACACCGUCAUCUCCCCUCCCCUCAGAGCGUUGGAGAGACGGGCGGAAGUCCCAUCUCGUGAGGAGCGCUACCGCAGGCGUCGGCGAACACCCAUAAGCAGUGACGACGGUCGAGUAAUCCCACAUUUGUUCGAGGCGCCUCGAGUAGACAUGAACGGCGCAGAAGUGAUUGCAGUGACCGAGGCGGACGUGGCCUCCCGUUAACUAAUGUUAGAGCUCAGAGGAGGAUUCUAAGGGAGGCCGAAGUAAGGCAGAAAAUACGUUCCCCGCAUCCUGAGCGGCAAUAACGGUAGCAUAAUAGAAAUACGGAAAAUAAUGAUGUGCUAGAUGCAUUGUCGGCUGGUCUCGUAAUACACUCGACAACUCGUACGACUUAACAACAUGCACGUCAUGGGUUCAAGCCCCAAAUGGACCGUGCCGCCAUACGUAGGACUGACUAUCCUGCUAUGGGGGGAAAUCUAUUAGUCACUGAAAGCCAAGCCCACAAGUGGUACAGGCAGGCCUUUACUGACAACGGUUGUUGAGCCAAAGAAGAAGAAGAAGAACUAUAUGAAAUUCGGCUCAGUAUACCUAGUCAUUGGAAAGCAACCAACUGUAUGCACAAUUGAUCAUUAAACUAAAGUUUUUAAGGAAAAAUGCUACGUGGCACUCUUGCCCCGUAUGGCACACUUGCCCCAAAUUCCGCUAUAGGUAUUUCCCGAUAUACGCUAUUAAUGCGGACUGGAGGCAAUAGCGUCCCAGUCAGACAAAUCGGACUGAAUUUACACCUAUCUUACCGUUAAAUACCGGUAAUUUAAGAGUAAUUUUAUGGUAAAUUAGCAGUCGUUAAAUUACCCAUUUGAGCAGUUUUGAUCGAUCCUGUUCCUUAAUCUAUUUUUUUAUUUUUUAAUAUACAAACAAUUAUAAUGAUUUUGUUUAGCAAACUCGACUCGAACAGCCGCUUCACCCGGAGAAGGUGAUGCACAAUUAGCAAUAAUAAACUCUAUUUCUCGGUUGACUUUUACAUUUUACAGUUUUGAACACACCGCCAACGUCUUCUUCCACUAAAAGAUGACUAAAAGAAUUAUUUUUUUGUUCUUAUCUACAUCUUAUCACUGACAACAAUCGACAAAACUUCGUACCGCUAAAUUGCUCUUAAAUUACUGUUAUGACAGACACAAAACUGCUCGAAUGGGUAGAUUAACAGAAGGCUGUCUGACUGGGGUAUCUCGAAUAUUAGCGUAUGUCGAGUUUCGAGGGUUUCAGUCAAAUUAUUGCUAAUUUUCGUAUAAUUUUACGUGAAGUGGUAGGUUUUAGCCACUAAAUUAGUUAUGUGAUCUGAUUUUACAAUUUAUAACACAUUUAAAACAAUAUAUUUAUAACAAUUUAUACAAUUUAAAACUGAAGAUUACAAUUUUAUACCUUUUGAAAUGGGUUUUCAAAUUCGACCUAAAGGGAAUUUACACCUGUUUUCAUCUACGUUCGAAUCUCGUGCCGUUUGCAUCGAAUCGCAAACCGCCUGCUUCGAAUGACAUGCCACUAAGAUCGAGUGCGUGCAACCAUGGUUGAAUCGCGUUCCAGUAGGAUUGAAUUGCGUUCCACUAUGGUAGAAUCGUGUGCUACUACGAUCGAAUCGUGUGCCACUAUGGAUUUCUGAAAGCAAGAGCAUAGUAAACUGUUUGUUUACGUUUGAAAGCUCUUUCUUUUUUUUGUCGGGUGCUAAAAUUCUAAUAAAAGGUAGUUAUUCUCUGAUUGAAAGUAUAAUCCUAGAUUUCUACUAAUAUUCGUGCUUUUUACAUGCAGCAUUACGAAAUGGAACGUGGGGCCAUUUAAAAGACAUCUAACGAAAACCGCGAACGCAUUGUUCGAGCCUAUGACCUAGGCACGAAUAUGAAAGAAAUUGCCGAAAUGCUGCACUUGAAUGAUAUGGAAAACGGUUUGGACAAGAUUUGAACGAAUUAUUUUUUUUAUAUGUAGGGGAAGGUAGGUAAAGACGGACACUGCGGGUAAGAUGGACACUUCUCAUAAAUGCAUCAAAAUGAUACACCUGUUUCCAUCUACGUUCGAAUCUCGUGCCGUUUGCAUCGAAUCGCAAACCGCCUGCUUCGAAUCGCAUGCCACUACGAUCGAAUGCGUGCACCCAUGGUUGAAUCGCGUGCCAGUACGGUUGAAUCGCGUUCCACUAUGGUCGAAUCAUAUGCCACUACGAUCGAAUCGUGUGCCGCUACCAUUGGAUUUCUGAAAGCAAGAGCAUAGUAAACUAUUUGUUUACGUUUUAAGAGCUGUUUCUUUCUUCGCCGACUGCAUUUCAUGUUUAAAAUACUAAUAAAAGGGAAUUCUCUGAUUAUAGGUAAAUCACUAAUAUUGGUUUAAACCAUGGUCCCUUGUUGAUGGUAAAAUCCAUGGUUUCAACCAAUAUUCGUCGGGUUUACCUAUAAUCAGGGUAUAAUUCCCUUUUAUUAGUAUUUUAAAAACGAAAUGCAGUCGGUGUAGGAAGAAACAGCUUUCAAGCGUAAACAAACAGUUUACUAUGCUCUUGCUUUCAGAAAUCCAAUGGUAGCGGCACACGAUUCGAUCGUAGUGGCAUAUGAUUCGACCAUAGUGGAACGCGAUUCAACCGUACUGGCACGCGAUUCAACCAUGGUUGCACGCAUUCAAUCGCAGUGGCAUGCGAUUCAAAGCAGGCGGUUUGCGAUUCGAUGCAAAUGGCACAAGAUUCGAACGUAGAUGGAACCAGGUGUAUUAGUAUUUUGAAAACGAAAUGCAGUCGGCGAAAAAAGAAACAGCUUUCAAACGUAAACAAACAGUUUACUAUGCUCUUGCUUUCAGGAAUCCAAUGGUAGCGGCACAAGAUUCGAUCGUAGUGGCAUAUGAUUCGACCAUAGUGGAACGCGAUUCAACCGUACUGGCACGCGAUUCAACCAUGGUUACACGCAUUCAAUCGUAGUGGCGUGCGAUUCAAAGCAGGCGGUUUGCGAUUCGAUGCAAAUGGUACGAGAUUCAAACGUAGAUGGAAACAGGUGUAAUACGGGAACACUCCUUUUAUCCCAAGGUUUCCACACUGUAAGGUAAACAUAUACCUAGCCCGUGAACUGUCACAUUCUUGUCCCCGUUGUACACAACAUAGCUGUUGCCAACAAAUUAGUCUCCUCAGGCUGCAAAUGUCACAUAAAAAGGCGCCUUUCCGCAGUCUUUCGGGCGCCCGUCCGGCUACGAAAAGGCGCCUUUAUAACGAUGCUUUAGGCAGUAUUUGACAGAGUUUGCACACCUCAAUGUAUAUAUGGCUUGGUUUUUGUGUGUGUUUCGUGAUGAUAUGUCGCCCUCACACUGUCCAACAAAAAAAAAUUAAAUAAAAAUUAGCUGUCGUAUGUUAUUGCCUUUCUGAAGUCCCUAUGUGCACUCCCCCCUCUGCCCCACGUUUUUGCUCCCUGUACUUCCUGUAGUUGCCCUGCAUCACCAUUUCGUUCGUUGCUGCUGCCGUGUGAUAUCAUGUCAAACCGGGUGUGUGUGUGUAGAGUUGUUUCGAUGAGCAUCUUUUUCAUGGAAGGCUUUGUUGGUCCGCAUCAGUGUUGAGCUUCUUCCUGUAGAAAUAGUUAGCAUUUGCAUCGCAGAGUUUGUGGUAACAGCUACGGGAUCCCCGAGAGAGGCCAUCGUUUGUGUGGCAAUAAGAAUACACACAAUACGCGAGCUGCACAAUACGCAACAUGGAGAAGUAAGUGCGUAAGAAGAAUCGAGAUGUACAAAACAAUAACGCUUUUUUCUUGCAUUUUUAACGCAAAACGACCUAAGCUAAUUUUGAAAAUGAUAGAUGGGAAGUGUGUUAUGGUGGCAUCGAAACCACAAAAUAAUGGCGAGAAUUUAUGUUUGGUCGCUAACGCAUCCUGCAAUAGUAUUAUGAAAUGUCAUAUUAAAAAUGCUUUUAUACCAGAUUCAACAACUAGUGCUGCCAAACCGAUUUUGCACGAGCAGUUGCUGCAAGAGCUAAAUGCUCCGCUACAUUCAGCCACGACUUCGGGUAAUUCCAAAACGGCAUCUUCUUGUUCCAUCCCGGGCAUGCCAAACAAGCAAAAACAAGUACAAUAUAAAGUAUCAAGAUCGCAAUCAAUCGAGACUCAAACGAUGUCUGUUGUUGAUGACAACUCGUGUCUGAAUAUAAUAUUUAAAAAAAAUGACUGAAAUUCAAUACGAACAACAACAGACGAAUAAAAAGCUAGUAGACAUGGAAAAA